GGUGCAUCAGCUGGCGAGGUAUUCUAUUCUCACCUAUUAGUAUUCACGUUUACUAGUUUUUAAUCCUUCUUUCGACUUUUACAGUAUUAAUUUAACAGCUGUUUGCUCUCUGGCUUGCGAUGGGAAUGGUGAAUGACAUCUGCCCCUUUCGAAUUUUUUUUUUUUUACUUUGUGACAAGACCCCUUCGGAUUGUUCACUUGUUUUCUUUUGUUUUAACUAUAUCGGAUAAUUAGCCCUAAAUUUCCACAUAAUUCAUAGAUCAGAACAAUACAACCUGUAAAGUGAUGCUGGAUCUAUAUAAAUAUCUAAAAUAUUUUUAAAUGAAUCCGGCCAAAUUUUAUGAGAAAAAAAGAAAGAAAGACAUCUUUUUUUGGCCCACUCCAAAAUUAUUCAUGGAUAUUUAUGAAUAUUGAUCUAACUAAGUCUGAAAUUUUAUGAUUUUGUUGGUUGUAUUGAUCCAACCCGAUACAUCCCAUAUGAUUUUCAAUCCAACCCUUCAAAUAAACCCUUAAAGGAUCGAGAAUCUUGAGGUUUCUACCAUCAUUUAUUUAUCAUCCGAUUUCCGUUUGUUUUGGUUUAUGGGGAUCAGGUGUGCAUUUUUAAGCUGGAAGGCUGGAAUAAGGACCUGCUCACUUUGAUAGCAUGGUAUGGAAGCGAUUCCUUUUGCUUUCUCGGGAGGGAAAGAAGGAAAAGGCGCAUUGCUUUGUUGUGGUGGUUUAAACUAUGUCUUGUAACGGGGAGGCAAGAUCGUCAGGUAAAUCUCGAAAGAGUGGCCCAAAGGAAUGGCUGUGUGGAUGUGGCAUUAUUCAUUAACCUUGUGCCAUCUUCCUUUGGAAGUGAUCCCCAAGCAAUUUCCU
rnacentral:lncRNA from 1 species